rnacentral:rRNA from 1 species
GCAGCAGCCGCGGUAAUACGUAGGGUGCGAGCGUUAAUCGGAAUUACUGGGCGUAAAGCGUGCGCAGGCGGUUAUAUAAGACAGAUGUGAAAUCCCCGGGCUCAACCUGGGGCCUGCAUUUGUGGCUGUAUAGCUAGAGUACGGUAGAGGGGGAUGGAAUUCCGCGUGUAGCAGUGAAAUGCGUAGAUAUGCGGAGGAACACCGAUGGCGAAGGCAAUCCCCUGGACCUGUACUGACGCUCAUGCACGAAAGCGUGGGGAGCAAACAGGAUUAGAUACCCGCGUAGUCCCUGUCUCUUAUAC